UGGGGCUUUGACUGGCAGCUCUACCCCAGGUAAUGAUUCCAGCUGCCUACAGCCUGGCCUCCUGAUUGGCUGCUGCCUGAUUUAGCUCAGCUGUGGCAGCAGGCUCUACACCACCCAACAGUUCCUGCUGACUCUAGCAAGUCUCUGUGAUCUAGUACUUUUGGUUUCCUGAGUGCUUGUUCUGUUCUUGGAUUGUAGCUUCUGAAUUUUCCCUUGGAUUUGGUCAUUUGGCUUCUGAGUCUGAAUCCAACUUGAAGUUCAGGACUUAGAGGAGUUCCAGAGCCUUAACAACUCCGGGGCCUGAGAACCGAACAGAGCCCAUGGAGCUUCGACAGCUCCAUGCGAAAGAAAUUGCCAAACCCGCGGAGACUUACAACUCCGGGGCCAAAGAACCGAAUUUGUCGUAGUCCUCCAACAAGGAUUUAAGUGGAGCUGCACCUGGAAACUGUCCAGCCUACACCGCGACCAUCUUGGGUGUAAGUAAAUAAUCUUUCAAUCAAC